UACAGGGGGGGGCAAGCGUUGUUCGGAAUUACUGGGCGUAAAGAGCUCGUAGGCGGCCAACUAAGUCACACGUGAAAUCCCCAGCUUAACCUGGGAACUGCGUGUGAUACUGGAUGGCUUGAAUUCGGGAGAGGGAUGCAGAAUUCCAGGUGUAGCGGUGAAAUGCGUAGAUAUCUGGAGGAAUACCGGUGGCGAAGGCGGCAUCCUGGACCGACAUUGACGCUGAGGAGCGAAAGCUAGGGGAGCAAACGGG
rnacentral:rRNA from 1 species